rnacentral:rRNA from 1 species
AGAGUUUGAUCAUGGCUCAGGAUGAACGCUAGCUACAGGCUUAACACAUGCAAGUCGAGGGGAAACGACAUCGAAAGCUUGCUUUUGAUGGGCGUCGACCGGCGCACGGGUGAGGGGUAACGCGUAUCCAACCUGCCCACCACUUGGGGAUAACCUUGCGAAAGUAAGACUAAUACCCAAUGACGUCUCUAGAAGACAUCUGAAAGAGAUUAAAGAUUUAUCGGUGAUGGAUGGGGAUGCGUCUGAUUAGCUUGUUGGCGGGGUAACGGCCACAAGGCGACGAUCAGUAGGGGUUCUGAGAGGAAGGUCCCCCANAUUGGAACUGAGACACGGUCCAAACUCCUACGGGAGGCA